rnacentral:lncRNA from 10 species
CUCAUGAUAGUGAAUAAGUCUCACGAGAUCUGAUGGGUUUAUCAGGAGUUUCCACUUUUGCUUCUUCCUCAUUCUCUCUUGGUGCCACCAUGUAAGAAGUGCCUUUCACUUCCUGCCAUGAUUCUGAAGUCCCCCCAGCCAUGUGGAACUGAUACCCCAUGGUUCUCCUACCACCAGAUGCUACUGAGGCUAAACUGACUGGACUGAGGAAAAAUAUCUGUGGGGAAAACUUUCUUUCAGAAUCCAACUUUGAACCAGAGAAAUCCAUUCUCUUGAAGCUGUCUGCUGUGGAGAAGUUGGCCUUACCAAUCUGCCUUUGAAGUUCAAGUUAUACAGGAUCUGCGAGGCUACCUGUGAAUGAAUGGUUGGUUGGUCACUACUUGCAAGUUUUUCAGGAGCUCCUGAAAGAUUACUGCAUAAAUAAGGGAAGAUGGAGACCAGACCUCUGGCUACUGUUGCUGCCACCACUACAGAUACCACCUUCACCCUUAUGAACCCCCUAUUUACUGAACAUUCUCUAUAUGCCAGUUACAAAGAACAGAAAAGUAUCCCCGUGACCCUUGUCCACCACCACAUACCAC